AUACGGAGGGUGCGAGCGUUAAUCGGAACUACUGGGCGUAAAGCGUACGUAGGCGGUUGGUUAAGUUAGAUGUGAAAGCCCCGGGCUUAACCUGGGAACUGCAUUUAAAACUGGCGAACUAGAGUUGAGUAGAGGGGAGUGGAAUUUCAGGUGUAGCGGUGAAAUGCGUAGAGAUCUGAAGGAACACCAGUGGCGAAGGCGACUCCCUGGACUCGAACUGACGCUGAGGUACGAAAGCGUGGGUAGCAAACGGGAUUAGAAACCCCAGUAGUCC
rnacentral:rRNA from 1 species